AGUGAACGCUGGCGGUAGGCCUAACACAUGCAAGUCGAACGGCAGCACAGUAAGAGCUUGCUCUUACGGGUGGCGAGUGGCGGACGGGUGAGGAAUACAUCGGAAUCUACUUUUUCGUGGGGGAUAACGUAGGGAAACUUACGCUAAUACCGCAUACGACCUACGGGUGAAAGCAGGGGAUCUUCGGACCUUGCGCGAUUGAAUGAGCCGAUGUCGGAUUAGCUAGUUGGCGGGGUAAAGGCCCACCAAGGCGACGAUCCGUAGCUGGUCUGAGAGGAUGAUCAGCCACACUGGAACUGAGACACGGUCCAGACUCCUACGGGAGGGAGCAGUGGGGAAUAUUGGACAAUGGGCGCAAGCCUGAUCCAGCCAUACCGCGUGGGUGAAGAAGGCCUUCGGGUUGUAAAGACCUUUUGUUGGGAAAGAAAAGCAGCAGGUUAAUACCCCGCUGUUCUGACGGUACCCAAAGAAUAAGCACCGGCUAACUUCGUG
rnacentral:rRNA from 1 species